ACAAAAUGCAGCUGGUGAUAAAAAUCCAUUCCAGAUCCCAGGGUGCAUUUAAUCUUUGCAAGUGUGGAACCUUUUGUUGAAUCUUACAAGAGAGGGUCUAUUCCCAAGAAAAGGAAGAGUCAUGAUUUUUCGGCUCUCCUUCCCGUUUGUAGAUGACAACUACUUGCCUUGGUGCCUGUUCUUUUCUGAUCUCUGUUUGCUCUGAUGGUUUCUCUGUGGCCUUAGUUUCCUCUCAGGGUAAUCCUUCAAAGGAGUGUAGACAGUCUGACUCAGGCCACAUGUGCUACAGAGCUGCCUGUCCUGCAUGGGCUGUUGUUGUUGUCGUUGUUACUUUGGUUGUUAGGCAAGUGACCAUAAAUUGCUCAGAGGUCCCGAGAGUGGAGCUGAGUUUCCGACCUCCUGCAAGUCAGUGUCUCUGUUUUGAAGUUUGCUUCUUGCAUUUUGUCUCUUCCAGGGCGUGUUGUGAGCAUGGGAAAUCUAGAAAAGAAAUACACCAAAUGGGAAGUUAUUGGCAGUGGGAGUUUUGGAACUGUUUAUAA
rnacentral:lncRNA from 12 species